UACGUAGGGAGCGAGCGUUGUCCGGAAUCAUUGGGCGUAAAGAGCAUGUAGGUGGAUCAAUUAGUCUGCUGUGAAAGUCAAAGGCUCAACCUUUGAAAGCCGGUGGAUACUGUUGAUCUAGAGUACGGAAGAGGCGAGUGGAAUUCCUGGUGUAGCGGUGGAAUGCGCAGACAUCAGGAGGAACACCAAUAGCGAAGGCAGCUCGCUGGGACGUUACUGACACUGAGAUGCGAAAGCGUGGGGAGCAAACAGG
rnacentral:rRNA from 1 species